rnacentral:rRNA from 1 species
AGCGGCGGACGGGUGAGUAACACGUAGGCAACCUGCCCCUUGGACUGGGAUAACUACCGGAAACGGUAGCUAAUACCGGAUAAUUCCUCUUAGCUCCUGCUAAGAGGCUGAAAGGCGGAGCAAUCUGUCACCAAGGGAUGGGCCUGCGGCGCAUUAGCUAGUUGGUGGGGUAACGGCUCACCAAGGCGACGAUGCGUAGCCGACCUGAGAGGGUGAACGGCCACACUGGGACUGAGACACGGCCCAGACUCCUACGGGAGGCAGCAGUAGGGAAUCUUCCGCAAUGGGCGAAAGCCUGACGGAGCAACGCCGCGUGAGUGAUGAAGGUUUUCGGAUCGUAAAGCUCUGUUGCCAGGGAAGAACGUUUCUUAGAGUAACUGCUAAAAAAGUGACGGUACCUGAGAAGAAAGCCCCGGCUAACUACGUGCCAGCAGCCGCGGUAAUACGUAGGGGGCAAGCGUUGUCCGGAAUUAUUGGGCGUAAAGCGCGCGCAGGCGGCUGUUUAAGUCUGGUGUUUAAACCAUGGGCUCAACCUGUGGUCGCACUGGAAACUGGGCAGCUUGAGUGCAGAAGAGGAAAGUGGAAUUCCACGUGUAGCGGUGAAAUGCGUAGAGAUGUGGGAGGGAACACCAGUGGCGAAAGCGACUUUCUGGGCUGUAACUGACGCUGAGGCGCGAAAGCGUGGGGAGCAAACAGGAUUAAGAUACCCUGGUAGUCCACGCCGUAA